UCAAGCUACAAUGCUUUUACCCUGUGCUUGAAUGUACUGCUUCUUUCUCAACACGCUUCGUUGAACAGUCUCUCAUUACCCCUCAAGACUUCCGCAAACGCAUUAUCGGUCCUUCUGCAAGGUAAUGAUUCUCUCUCCCUUUUCUUUCCUCUUCUCUUUUGUUGCCGAUGAGCAACCCACCGCCACUUCUACCGCCAUCACAAGCAUUAUACUUUGCUCUGCUUCCAUCUCUCUAUGAGAAAAAAAAACUAAAAACGACACCACAUCAUUCCCUUUACCAGCACCACCACCAUUGUGUCUACCAACAUCACCAACAUCUAUUCUUGGAUGGAAAAAAGAGCGACCCACCACCAACUUAUGCACAACCAUCACCAUUUUUUGUUCCAAUCGCCAUAUAAAGCAUCAUUUUUGUUAAAAUAGAAAUCUUUAUCUGCAAUAAUGGGUUAAAGUUGUGUCGGAUGGAUUUUGGGAUCUUAAUCUGAGAUGAUUUGCAGAGGGAUCCUAAAGGUAAACAAGAUGACAUUUUCUUUCAGGACUUCCAUUUUUAACCAUGUGGAUACCAUUCCUUUUAUGAUGUUGCAGUUUUGUGGUAUGUGUUACUUCUCUUCUGACAUUAGGGGAUUUUUUUAGGUCAAGAAGACAAAAAUAAAGAGUUCAAAUCUCAAUACACCGACACAAAGGGACUCAGGUUUUAAGCCCAAUUUUCCUCUCAUAUGGAUUUUGUUAUUAUCAAAUUCUUGAUCUAAAUGUGCUAUUGACACAUUGAAACCUCUAAUAUUGUUAGUCUAUGUUAAUACAUGGAAUGUCGGAUGAGAACUUUCACCAGAAUCCUAAAUGAGUACAAACAAACAAAUAGUUAAAUAUUAUCAAAAGGUAAUUUUUUUUCUAAUUAUGGAUAACGAAUUAGAAGAUGAAAUUGUGCAAUGUGUGGUUUAGUAGUUCUAUAGUAUGUAUGUAUGAUGUGAUAAUCGUGUGUAUGUGUUGUGUAUAUAUGUAUGUGUGUGUGUAUUUAGGUGGGUUGUAAGUAUGUAUGUGUGAAACCGUAGUGUUUGAUUUAUAUAUGUCAAAUGAUUUUGUUGUUUAGAAGCCAUUUUUGUUCCUAAAAACCUAAACUUGACCCUAGAGAAAUAAUAUACAGGUUUCCUUCCUGGAGCCAUUGAGGAGUCUCAUAAAUGCAAUAAAUAACAUAGAUUUACUUUAAUUCUAUGACUUUUAUCAUGUUUAAUGAAAAUAAAUAUGAACAUUAUAAAUCAAGUUUAUCCUUAUUUAUGCCAUCUUGCAAAUCGCAAUUUUCAUUUGGUUUUGUAGGUUUAUUGCUAGAACAUGAAAUGAAUUUAUUAUUAGUUGUGAUUAUGACAGGUUCACACUGUAACAAAUCUCGAAAAUAAGUGUAUAUAUGCACUCUAUUGAUGUAGUUUUUUUUACCUUUAAUACCAGUGAAGAAAUCAAAGAUGGUGAUACCCGUCAUAAACCUGCAGCAGAUCGGGGUGGUUGUGAUUCGUUUUCAAGAGUGGAUCAGGGCCUUCGAGUCCCAUGCAAAUGAUGAAAAAGUGUCUUCUGGAUUACGAAAAUUCAUAUAUAAGAAUUUCCUUACUUGGAAGGAGCACAAUGAUUUUGAACUUAUGGGUUGAUCACUGGAGUCUAAAAUGGCAUCAGGUUUUAUUCCAUAGGAAUUUCAUAAGACAAAUAUAUGGUGGGGUAACUGCAUAACAGAUGGUGGGGCAUGGGAUAAUAUCAACAAGUACAUCAGGUGAAGGUGUUUCUGAGAGGUGAUACCGUGAUGAUCUUUACAUCUGGACAACUAGAAAGGAUGGUUGUAUCUGUGAACAUGAACGCUAGAAUAACAAAGACGAUGUUUGGUAGCAGCUUACAGUAUUGGAUUCUAGAGCAUAUGAG